rnacentral:misc_RNA from 1 species
UGCAGGUCUAAGAAGUCUCUCAUUAAUUUUCACAUCCAAACUCAACAUAAGGAAGAGAUGGACAAGGUUAAAGCUAAUGAAAAUGAAGAAAUGGAAGUUGUGAAGUCCAAUGCGUGCCAAGAAUGUGGUGCCAUUUUCAAAAAGCCUGCAUAUCUGAAACAACAUAUGCAAAGUCAUUCUCUUCUGGAGUGCUUUUUUCCCCCUAUUAUGAAAACGCCUAAUGUGGUGGCGUGAAGCAUUGGAUCCCACACACAGA